UGGGGAAUUUUGGACAAUGGGCGCAAGCCUGAUCCAGCAAUGCCGCGUGCAGGAUGAAGGCCUUCGGGUUGUAAACUGCUUUUGUACGGAACGAAAAGCCUCUCUCUAAUACAGGGGGGUGAUGACGGUACCGUAAGAAUAAGCACCGGCUAACUACGUGCCAGCAGCCGCGGUAAUACGUAGGGUGCAAGCGUUAAUCGGAAUUACUGGGCGUAAAGCGCGCGCAGGCGGUUUUGUAAGACAGUGGUGAAAUCCCCGGGCUCAACCUGGGAACUGCCAUUGUGACUGCAAGGCUGGAGUGCGGCAGAGGGGGAUGGAAUUCCGCGUGUAGCAGUGAAAUGCGUAGGUAUGCGGAGGAACACCGAUGGCGAAGGCAAUCCCCUGGGCCUGNACUGACGCUCAUGCACGAAAGCGUGGGGAGCAAACAGGAUUAGAUACCCUGGUAGUCCACGCCCUAAAACGAUGUCAACUGGUUGUUGGGGAUUUAUUUCUUCAGUAACGAAGCUAAC
rnacentral:rRNA from 1 species